AUGUGCUAUCCCAAGAAGGAAGGUGGUAUGGGAUUCAGGGAUUUGUACUCUUUUAUUCUGGCAAUGCUUUCGAAACAAUGAUGGCGCCUGAUUACUAAUCCAGAGUCCCUUUGUGCUAGAGUGUUAAAAGAAAAUUACUACCCAAAUGUUGACUUACUUCAUGCAACUCUUAAAAAUGGAGCCUCAUUCACAUGGCAGAGUGUGAUGAAGGGGCUGGAGACCUUCAAGUUGGGAUAUAUCUGGCGCAUUGGUACUGGGGAGAAUGUCAACAUUUGGCAGGAUCCAUGGAUACCUGCAAGUCCUGACCGUAAGGUAAUAUCCAGUCGGGGCCAAUCUAUCCUAACCUCAAUUAGCGACCUCCUGGAUCCUUAUACAGGAACAUGGGAUGAGGAGAUCAUCAAAUCUAUCCUUAACCCGGUGGAUGUUCAUCGGAUACUACAGAUUCCGGUCAAUACUAAUUCCUUUGAUGAUUUCAUUGCAUGGCAUCCUGAACGUAAUGGCAUAUUUACGGUUCGACCAGCUUAUAAAGUUCAGUGGGAGCGAUCCUUUAGGGUACAUGCAAAUAGGACUCAGCGCCCUGCUGGCUCUCAUAAUCCGGAGAUUUGGAGUAAGCUUUGGAAACUCAAGAUCCCACGUAAAGUUUCCAUCUUUUGUUGGCGGGCAUUGCAUGGAAUUAUCCCCCUAAAAUCCAUUCUAGCAAAUCGCCAUGUUGGAAGUGAAAGCGGGUGCCCGAUAUGCCAGGGAGGGGCUGAAGAUAUUAAACAUCUUCUUUUCGGUUGCGUGCAUGCGAAGGAAUUAUGGAAAAGUUUGGGAAUUUUAGAUAUUAUU
rnacentral:rRNA from 1 species